UACGUAGGGGGCGAGCGUUGUCCGGAGUUACUGGGCGUAAAGCGCUUUUAGGCGGUCCACCAAGUUUGGGGUGACAGUUGCCGACUUAAUCGGCAAAGUGCCUCAAAGACUGGCGGACUUGAGGGCCACAGAGGGACAUGGAACUCCAGGUGUAGUGGUGAAAUGCGUAGAUAUCUGGAAGAACACCAAAGGCGAAGGCAGUGUCCUGGGUGGUCGCUGACGCUGAGAGGCGAAAGCCAGGGGAGCGAACGGG
rnacentral:rRNA from 1 species